AUAUCUUGUCUGCGUCUCCCUUUGUCUUGUGCCAGAGUGUUUCGUUCAUUUCGUUCACCCCAGCCAGUCUUUUCCACAGUCCUUGAGCUACCUUGCUUCCCCACGUAACGUGUGCUUGUUGUUUUUGCCUCCACUUCUCUCAGGCUUUCUCCAAACCUGUUUCCAGAGACAACAGCUCCCUGUGAGUUAUAAGAUGAGGAUGGAGGUGCUUCAUUUUCUCCUGUUUAUAAAGCAGCACAGGACACGCCCUCACCGGUUCCGCCGUUUCUCCAGGUGACACUGUCCUAAUCUCCAGGAUCUCUGUAUGGUACUGUUUUAGGUACAAAGAAGAGCUGAGGAGGACACAGAAGGAGAACCCCCACCAGAAAAUAGACACCUCACUCCACACCUCGACAUAGAAUAUAAUUCCUGAAUACAUAAAGCAUGUAAAAGACUGUGAAAUAUCCACCAAUGUGCUUUGAUACACAAACACAAGCAAGUAAUUCAUUGUUUUAUGACUCCUAUUUCUAGCAGUGUGUGCCAGAUUUGGUGAAUAUUCAGUGAAUGUGAGUGGUGAUGCAACAACAAGAUGCAAAAUAGUGAAAACCUGUUGGAAAUGCAUGUGUCCUGUAAUGAACUAAAGAAAGAAUUAAAGAAUAUGUUACAUGUCAUGAUCCAGGCCGGGACUUUUGAGCUCAGAUUUAAUGGAGAUGAAUUCAAGUUAAAAUGUUCCUUUUCGAAUAAAGUGAUGCUGAAAUCAUACACAAUGUAUGCAUCAUUUUAUUAGAACAAUGGUGCAGUAAAAG